rnacentral:rRNA from 1 species
GACAGAGGUGGCAAGCGUUGUUCGGAUUCAUUGGGUGUAAAGGGCUGGUAGGCGGCCUAGAAAGUCUGACGUGAAAUCCCAGGGCUCAACCCUGGAACUGCGUUGGAAACUUCAUGGCUUGAGUAUCGUAGAGGUUAGGGGAAUUCUCGGUGUAAGGGUGAAAUCUGUAGAUAUCGAGAGGAAUACCAGAGGCGAAGGCGCCUAACUGGGCGAUUACUGACGCUGAGCAGCGAAAGCAAGGGGAGCAAACAGG